UAAAAGAUAAGCUAAGAUUAAGCUGAUGGGUUCAUACCCCAGAUAUGAUUUAUUCUCUUUUAA
rnacentral:tRNA from 1 species